CCACCCAAAAUGGCGGCUCCAAUCCCCGCCCACCCCCUGUAACCCCAUUGGCUGAGCCGCCCGUCAAUCACCACGGCCCCGCCCCUUCCCCGCGCUCUGAUUGGUUCGCGCCGUUUUCCCCAAAAACGACCAAAACCCGAAUUUUUCACCUUCCGGCGCCAUUUUGGGCGGGGGGCGGGGCUUAACAGAGGGAAGGCCACGCCCCUUUCUGCCGCUCGGAGCGCUGAUUGGUCGGAUUGUGGAGCCACGCCCACGCAAAGCCCCGCCCCCUUCGGCCCCCGACGGGGGCGGGAUUUGGGAAUUCCUGAGGGAAUUUGGGGAAUUCUGGAGGAAUUUUGGGAUCCUGGGGGGAAUUUUGGGAAAAUUUUGGGAAUUCUGGAGGGAAUGUUGGGAAUUCUGGAGGAAUUUUGGGAAAAUUUUGGGAAUUCCUGAGGGAAUUUUGGGAAUUCUGAGGGAAUUUUGGGAAUUCUGGAAGAGUUUUGGGAUCCUGGGAGGAAUUUUGGGAAAAUUUUGGGAAUUCCUGAGGGAAUUUUGGAAUCUUGGGGGGAAUUUUGGGAUCCUGGAAGGAUCCUGGGAGGAACUCUGGGAUCAU
rnacentral:lncRNA from 1 species